rnacentral:rRNA from 1 species
GACGUAGGGCGCGAGCGUUGUCCGGAUUUAUUGGGCGUAAAGAGCUCGUAGGCGGCUUGUUGCGUCAGCUGUGAAAACCCGCAGCUCAACUGUGGGCUUGCAGCUGAUACGGGCAGGCUUGAGUUCGGUAGGGGAGACUGGAAUUCCUGGUGUAGCGGUGAAAUGCGCAGAUAUCAGGAGGAACACCGGUGGCGAAGGCGGCAUCCUGGACCAACACUGACGCUGAGGAGCGAAAGCCAGGGGAGCAAACGGG